rnacentral:rRNA from 1 species
GCAAGUCGAGCGGUAGAUAUGACUUCGGUUAUAUUGAGAGCGGCGCACGGGUGAGUAACGCGUACAUGACCUACCCACAAGAACGGGAUAGCCCUGGGAAACUGGGAUUAAUACCGUAUGUGAUUAAAAGUGUUAGAGGUUUUUAAUUAAAGCUCCGGUGCUUGUGGAUGGAUGUGCGUCUGAUUAGCUAGUUGGUAAGGUAACGGCUUACCAAGGCGACGAUAGGUAGGGGUCCUGAGAGGGAGAUC